UGUAGAGUACACGAGCGGCGGACGGGUGAGUAACGCGUGGGAAUCUACCCUAAAGUGAGGGAUAAGCACCGGAAACGGUGUCUAAUACCGCAUAUGAUCUUCGGAUUAAAGCUUUAUGCGCUUUGGGAAGAGCCCGCGUAAGAUUAGCUAGUUGGUGAGGUAAUGGCUCACCAAGGCGACGAUCUUUAGCUGGUUUGAGAGGAUGAUCAGUCACACUGGAACUGAGACACGGUCCAGACUCCUACGGGAGGCAGCAGUGAGGAAUUUUCCACAAUGGGCGAAAGCCUGAUGGAGCAACGCCGCGUGCAGGAUGAAGGCUUUAGGGUUGUAAACUGCUUUUAUAUGUGACGAAUAUGACGGUAGCAUAUGAAUAAGGAUCGGCUAACUCCGUGCCAGCAGCCGCGGUCAUACGGAGGAUCCAAGCGUUAUCCGGAUUAACUGGGCGUAAAGAGUUGCGUAGGUGGUUUGUUAAGUAAAUAGUGAAAUCUGGUGGCUCAACCAUCAACACAUUAUUUAAACUGGCAAACUCGAGAACGAGAGAGGUCACUGGAAUUCCCUGUGUAGGAGUGAAAUCCGUAGAUAUAGGGAGGAACACCAAUGGCGUAGGCAGGUGACUGGCUCGUUUCUGACACUGAGGCACGAAAGCGUGGGGAGCGAACGGGAUUAGAUACCCCGGUAGUCCACGCCGUAAACGAUGGAUACUAGCUGUUAGGAGUAUCGACCCUUCUAGUAGCGAAGCUAACGCGUUAAGUAUCCCGCCUGGGGAGUACGGUCGCAAGAUUAAAACUCAAAGGAAUUGACGGGGACCCGCACAAGCGGUGGAGCGUGUUCUUUAAUUCGAUGGUAAGCGAAGAACCUUACCAGGGCUUGACAUCCUUGUAAUUUCUCCGAAAGGAGAAAGUGCCUUCGGGAUCAAGUGACAGGUGUUGCAUGGCCGUCGUCAGCUCGUGUCGUGAGAUGUUUGGUUAAGUCCAUCAACGAGCGCAACCCUUAUGAUUAGUUGUAUUUUUCUAGUCAGACUGCCUCGGUAACGGGGAGGAAGGAGGGGAUGAUGUCAGGUCAUUAUUACCCUUACGCCCUGGGCUAGAAACGCGCUACAAUGGCUGGUACAAAGGGCUGCCAACCCGCAAGGGGGAGCAAAUCCCAUCAAAGCCAGUCCCAGUUCGGAUUGCAGGCUGAAAUUCGCCUGCAUGAAGUCGGAAUCGCUAGUAAUCGUAGGUCAGCACACUACGGUGAAUCCGUUCCCGGGUCUUGUACACACCGCCCGUCAAACCAUGGAAGUCACCAACACCCGAAGUCUGAAUUUAUUUCGGCC
rnacentral:rRNA from 1 species